UACGUAGGGCGCAAGCGUUAUCCGGAAUUAUUGGGCGUAAAGAGCUCGUAGGCGGUUUGUCGCGUCUGCCGUGAAAGUCCGGGGCUCAACUCCGGAUCUGCGGUGGGUACGGGCAGACUAGAGUGAUGUAGGGGGAGACUGGAAUUCCUGGUGUAGCGGUGAAAUGCGCAGAUAUCAGGAGGAACACCGAUGGCGAAGGCAGGUCUCUGCGCAUUAACUGACGCUGAGACGCGAAAGCGUGGGGAGCGAACAGG
rnacentral:rRNA from 1 species